rnacentral:lncRNA from 1 species
CUGACCUAUAGCUGUCAACUAUCUAUCUAUCUAUCUAUCUGUCUAUCUAUCUAUCUACCUAUUUUGAGACACAGUCUUGCCAAAUCACUAAGUUGCCCAGGCUGAGCUCAAAGUUGUGUUCCUCCUCCUCAGCCUCCCACAGUGCUGGGAUUACAGGUGUGCAUCACUAUGCCUGGCUGGGCAACAUGACAUUUUAGAUGAAAACUGUUCUAGAACAUCAAGGCUGCUUGGUGGCCAUCACUGUGGAGUGAGUGACAGUGGGUUCCACUGGCAGUGGCCAUCUGCCACCCUCUGCCCAGUCCCGAUUCCAUGAACACUGGGAAGAAACAUGCCCACCCAGGGGUUCUUUCCUGUCCAGUCUGAUCCUCUUCCUGGUACAGGCUUUCGCUCAACUCUAAGGGGAACUAUUGCUGCCUCACACAUUUUGGGGCCAAGAGUCUUCAUGUCUCUGUUCUCCUAGGCGUGAGGUCACCAGACUAGGUGACCAGAAACCCCUGCUGUAAAUCCUCCAGGUGAUCCGAUCCUCCCUCGAGUUUGGAAGUUUCUCUGGUCUACAGGAUCAGGAAAGCCAGGGUUCACAUAACCAAAGUAAAGUCAGAGCUGGAAGCCUGGAGGAGGGUGAGAUGGAAUCUGAGCCAAAGGAGGGGAAGGAAGUUCUGGGAAAUUGCUCUGAACGGUGGCUAUUUUCAGCCAGGCUUUAUCUCCUGCAGGUGCAGCCUGCGAGUGGGCUGGGCCAGUUUAAAGGGCCAGGAGCCAAGCAGACAGGUAGAAAAGCAUUUGCAGGUGUUUUUGUAGGUCAUCCUGACCUCUUGGGAAUGGCAGCUUGUAGUUUGUCACCUCUUCUGCUGUCCAAAGGAUUUGGUUUUGUCAGUGCCCUUCUGAGGGAGCUGGCCUGGCUUGGAUGUGGCAUCAGGGAACCAGCAUUUGCCUUAUCCAUUGCAACAAUCACUCUGCACUGUUCCCCAUGGAGGUGGAGAACUCCCAACAUGGCAGCCACGUGGAAAGUCCUUCCUCGGCAUAACCCAAAGCACCUGUUAUCCUCUCUGAAGCAAACAGAACGCUGCCAUCACAGUCUCCAGUGA